GGCUGUCGUCAGCUCGUGUCGUGAGAUGUUGGGUUAAGUCCGCAACGAGCGCAACCCUUUCCUUAGUUGCCAUCAGGUAAUGCUGGGGACGUCUAAGGAGUACUGCCCCGGUUAACGGGGAGGAAGGUGGGGAUGACGUCAAGUCAGUAUGUCCCUUACGUCCAGGGCUACACACGUGUUACAAUGGCCGGUACAAUGAGUUGCGACCCUGCAAAGGUAAAGCCAAUCUCAAAAAACCGGUACUCAGUUCGGAUUGCAGUCUGCAACUCGACUGCAUGAAGUUGGAAUCGCUAGUAAUCGUAGAUCAGCACGCUACGGUGAAUACGUUCCCGGGCCUU
rnacentral:rRNA from 1 species